rnacentral:misc_RNA from 1 species
GAUGAAGAACGUAGCGAAAUGCGAUACUUGGUGUGAAUUGCAGAAUCCCGUGAACCAUCGAGUCUUUGAACGCAAGUUGCGCCCGAAGCCUCGGCUAAGGGCACGUCUGCCUGGGCGUCACGCAUCGCGUCUCCCCCAAACCGCCAAGGCGGAGGGGAAGGAAGAUGGCUUCCCGUGCCUCACCCGGGCGCGGUUGGCCUAAAUUUGGAGCCCGCGGCACUUAGCUCUCGCGGCGAUAGGUGGUGAACAAGGCCUUGGCCGUGCAAACAACCCGCUGCGAAGCUCUAUGUCACGUGCGCUCGUCGGACCCUUUGAAGUUGCCUUCGGUGACUUAAAACCUUUGCGACCCCAGGUCAGGCGGGGCUACCCGCUGAAUUUAAGCAUAUCAAUAAGCGGGGA